AUUGAACGCUGGCGGCAGGCCUAACACAUGCAAGUCGAACGGAGUGGCGGACGGGUGAGUAAUGUCUGGGCAACUGCCUGAUGGCUGGGGAUAACUAAUGGGCACGGUAGCUAAUACCGCCUACCAUCGGAUGUGCCCAGAUGGGAUUAGCUAGUAGGUGGGGUAAAGGCCUACCAAGGCGACGAUCCGUAACUGGUCUGAGAGGAUGAUCAGUCACACUGGAACUGAGACACGGUCCAGACUCCUACGGGAGGCAGCAGUGGGGAAUAUUGGACAAUGGGCGAAAGCCUGAUCCAGCCAUGCCGCGUGUGUGAAGAAGGUCUUCGGAUUGUAAAGCAAUUUAAGUUGGGAGGCGUUACCAACAGAAUAAGCACCGGCUAACUUCGUGCCAGCCGCCGCGGUAAUUC
rnacentral:rRNA from 1 species